rnacentral:lncRNA from 1 species
UCUCUUUUCUCUCCACUUCCCUGGGGGACAAACACCCCACCCCUUCCCCAUGUUCCUGGGGUGCAAGAACCCCCCACCCCUUCUCUCUGUGUCUCUACCCUCUCUUUUCUCUGGACUUGCCUCCUUCACUAUAGGCAAACUUCCACCCUCCAUUCCUCCUUCUUCUCCCUUAGCCUGUGUUCUCAAGAACUUAAAACCUCUUCAACUCACACCCGACUUAAAACCCAAAUGCCUUAUUUUCUUCUGCAAUGCCACUUAACCCCAAUACAAACUCGACAGUGGUUCCAAAGAGCCAUAAAAUGGCACUUUUGAUUUCUCCAUCCUACAACACCUAGAUAAUUUUUGUCGAAAAAUGGGCAAAUGGUCUGAGGUGCCUGACGUCCAGGCAUUCUUUUACACAUCGGUCCCUCGUCCCUCCCUAAUCUCUGUUCCCAAUGCAACUCAUCCCAAAUCUUCCUUCUUUCCCUCCUGCCUGUCCCCUCAGUUCCAACCCCAAGUGUCACUAAGUCUUUCCAAUCUUCCUUUUCUACGGACCCAUCUGACCUCUCCCCUCCUCCCCAGGCUGCUCCUAGCCAGGCCGAGCCAGUUCCAAUUCUCCCUUAGCCUCCGCUCCCCCACCCUAUAAUCCUUCUAUCACCUCCCCUCCUCACACCCAGUCCAGCUUCCAGUUUCGUUCUGCGACUAGCCCUCCCGGACCUGCCCAGCAAUUUCCUCUUAAAAAGGUGGCUGGAGCUAAAGGCAUAGUCAAGGUUAAUGCUCCUUUUUCUUUAUCCAACCUCUCCCAAAUCAGUUAGCGUUUAGGCUCUUUUUCAUCAAAUAUAAAAACCCAGCCCAGUUCAUGGCUUGUUUGGCAUCAACCCUGAGAUGCUUUACAGCCCUAGACCCUGAAAGGUCAAAAGGCCGUCUUAUUCUCAAUAUACGUUUUAUUACCCAAUCUGCUCCCAACAUUAAAUAAAACUCCAAAAAUUAAAUUCCGGCCCUCAAACCCCACAAUAGGAUUUAAUUAACCUUGCCUUCAAGGUGUACAAUAAUAGAGUAGAGUCAGCCAAGUAACAAUGUAUUUCUGAGUUGCAAUUCCUUGCCUCCACUGUGAGAGAAACCCCAGCCACAUCUCCAGCACACAAGAACUUCAAAAUGCCUAAGCCGCAGCAGUCAAGCAUUCCUAGAGGACCUUCUCCAUCAGGAUCUUGCUUCAAGUGCCAGAAAUCUGGCCACUGGGCCAAGGAAUGCCCACAGCCCGGGAUUCCUCCUAAGCUGUGUCCCAUCUGUGUGGGACCCCACUGAAAAUCAGACUGUCCAGCUCACCUGGCAGCCACUCCCAGAGCCCCUGGAACUCUGGCCCAAGGCUCUCUGAUUGACUUCUUCCCAGAUCUUCUGGGCUUAGUGGCUGAAGACUGACACUGCCCGAUCACCUGAGAAGCCUCCUGGACCAUCACAGAUGCUUUAGGCUCUAGGGGAUGGUAGAGUCACAGGAUGGAAGAACUCUGUGUCCUUGAAUCAUUGCAUGGAAGAGAACUGGAAGUUGCCCAGGAACACCAGCCUUGGACAGUUAUGUGAACAAGAAAUAAACUUCUUUUACAGU